UACGUAGGGUGCGAGCGUUAAUCGGAAUUACUGGGCGUAAAGCGUGCGCAGGCGGUUUUGUAAGCCAGAUGUGAAAUCCCCGGGCUUAACCUGGGAAUGGCAUUUGGGACUGCAAGGCUCGAGUGCGGCAGAGGAGACUGGAAUUCCUGGUGUAGCAGUGAAAUGCGUAGAUAUCAGGAGGAACACCGAUGGCGAAGGCAGGUCUCUGGGCUGACACUGACGCUCAUGCACGAAAGCGUGGGGAGCGAAUGGG
rnacentral:rRNA from 1 species